GUGUGUACAGGGAAUAGAGCCACAGGUUAUUACAAAUUGCUUACCAAGGAAAGCCAGGCAUUUUGCCGACAAUUUUGAUGCCAGCUGUUAUAGUAGAAGUUGACUGCACCCUAUUUAUUGUAUGGAAUUAGUGCAGCUUCCAUCAAGUCAUGGGAAUACUACCCACACAUUCAUUUCUCCUACUGUCAGAGCUCUCCAUCCUGUGCCCCCUGAACAGGGAUGGAACAGCAGGACCACAGCAGUCCUUGUCUUUAAGGUACUUC